GGGCAUGUGGUGGAAUGGUAGACACGCUAGUCUUAGGAACUAGUGCGCAAGCGUGGGAGUUCGAGUCUCUUCAUGCCCA
rnacentral:tRNA from 1 species